UUUUUUUUGCAGCUCUCGACUGACACUUUCUUCAGUCUUCUCCAUCAGUUCACUCUCACACAUUCUCUCCUUGACUCGCUCUCUUUCCUGUUAAAACGCAGACGACAAUGAUAUCGUCAUUCUCCGACGAAUCAAACCCUCAAACCAUCGUCACCUUCCUCACAUCAUUAUAUGCUUCACUUAGACCUCUGAUUAUUUAAGAACGAAGCAAAACCUCGAGUCUUUCGAGCUCCAACGUGGGCUCACGUUUUUGGCAAAUUUCUCCCCGUUUCUGGCAGAGAUCGAAGAGGAGUCGAGUUAGGUCAGAUAGAGGUCACCAAUCAACUCACCACCAUCUGUAGAGUAAGAUUCGAGCAUUGUAUGCUCAGAUCUGCCUCAGAAUCAAAGAGAUCCCGUAACUUUGGUUUGAGCCGAAAUCCUCCAACCGACUUUAGGCUAUUUCCAUCCACAUUUUGACCUUAGGUUAGAAUUCUGGCAUAAAACUCAAAUUUCGAAGAAACUCUGACAGACGGAUGGUGGUCGACUUUGCUCCGGCGAUCGGUGAGAGGAAGAAAAUGAUCGCAUAUUCUAAAAUAGCAAUGGAAAAUUCUGUAACGAUGUCAACAUAUUCUGUUAACUGGAAGGAGAGGCAUAUCCUGAGGAACUAGGGACCAGGACUUAGUAGCUGCAUUUUGUGGUGAGAGAGGGCAUUAGCGAACUCUGACAUCCAUUUCCUGACAAUGUAAAAAAUUUAUUUUUUGUUGGUUAUGUAAUAUCCAUCCUACUCAGGUUAGGAAUACUUUUCAUUUUGCUACACUUAUAUCUAUGCUUUGACGUUGCAUGCAUUGUAAUAAGGGUUCAUCCCUCACUACUAGUUAAUUUAGUUUAGACUUUGGCUUUAA